AUGACGUUGGGAAAGCGAGCGGCGGAUGGGUGAGUAACACGUGGGGAACCUGCCCCUAAGUCUGGGACACCAUUUGGAAACAGGUGCUAAUACCGGAUAAUAAAGCAGAUCGCAUGAUCAGCUUUUGAAAGGCGGCGUAAGCUGUCGCUAAGGGAUGGCCCCGCGGUGCAUUAGCUAGUUGGUAAGGUAACGGCUUACCAAGGCGACGAUGCAUAGCCGAGUUGAGAGACUGAUCGGCCACAUUGGGACUGAGACACGGCCCAAACUCCUACGGGAGGCAGCAGUAGGGAAUCUUCCACAAUGGACGCAAGUCUGAUGGAGCAACGCCGCGUGAGUGAAGAAGGUUUUCGGAUCGUAAAGCUCUGUUGUUGGUGAAGAAGGAUAGAGGUAGUAACUGGCCUUUAUUUGACGGUAAUCAACCAGAAAGUCACGGCUAACUACGUGCCAGCAGCCGCGGUAAUACGUAGGUGGCAAGCGUUGUCCGGAUUUAUUGGGCGUAAAGCGAGCGCAGGCGGAAAAAUAAGUCUAAUGUGAAAGCCCUCGGCUUAACCGAGGAACUGCAUCGGAAACUGUUUUUCUUGAGUGCAGAAGAGGAGAGUGGAACUCCAUGUGUAGCGGUGGAAUGCGUAGAUAUAUGGAAGAACACCAGUGGCGAAGGCGGCUCUCUGGUCUGCAACUGACGCUGAGGCUCGAAAGCAUGGGUAGCGAACAGGAUUAGAUACCCUGGUAGUCCAUGCC
rnacentral:rRNA from 1 species